CAUCCCGGGCUACACACGUGCUACAAUGGCAGGUACAGAGGGCUAGCGAAGCCGCGAGGUGGAGCGAAUCCCAGAAACCUGUCUCAGUCCGGAUUGAAGUCUGCAACUCGACUUCAUGAAGGCGGAAUCGCUAGUAACCGCGAAUCAGCAGGUCGCGGUGAAUACGUCCCUGCCGUCCUU
rnacentral:rRNA from 1 species